rnacentral:rRNA from 1 species
AUUGAACGCUGGCGGCAGGCCUAAUACAUGCAAGUCGAACGCAGUGGGUACGGGUGAGUAACACGUGGGUAACCUCCCAUCAGAGGGGAUAACACUUGGAAACUGGUGCUAAACCGAUACUGAUGUCUGGUCGCGCGGUGCAUUAGCUAGUUGGUGAGGUAACGGCUCACCCAGGCCACGAUGCAUAGCCGACCUGGGAGGGUGAUCGGCCACACUGGGACUGAGACACGGCCCAGACUCCUACGGGAGGCAGCAGUAGGGAAUCUUCGGCAAUGGACGAAAGUCUGACCGAGCAACGCCGCGUGAGUGAAGAAGGUUUUCGGAUCGUAAAACUCUGUUGUUAGAGAAGCGGUAUCUAACCAGAAAGCCACGGCUAACUACGUGCCAGCAGCCGCGGUAAUAC